rnacentral:rRNA from 1 species
AUUGAACGCUGGCGGCAGGCCUAACACAUGCAAGUCGAGCGGAGCGGCGGACGGGUGAGUAACGCCUAGGAAUCUGCCUGGUAGUGGGGGAUAAAGUCCGGAAACGGGCGUCAAUACCGCAUACUAUGAGAUGAGCCUAGGUCGGAUUAGCUAGUUGGUGGGGUAAAGGCCUACCAAGGCGACGAUCCGUAACUGGUCGGAGAGGAUGAUCAGUGCCACUGGAACGGGGACACGAUCCAGACUCCUACGGUAGGCAGCAAUGGGGAAUAUGGGACAGCGGGCGAGAGCCUGAUACAGCCAUGCCACGUGUGUGAAGAAGGUCUUCGGGUUGUAAAGCACGUUAUGUUGGGGGACGUUACCAGCAGAAUAAGCACCGGCUAACUUCGUGCCAGCAGCCGCGGUAAUAC